GAUGAACGCUAGCGGCAGGCUUAACACAUGCAAGUCGAGGGGCAGCAUAAUGGAUAGCAAUAUCUAUGGUGGCGACCGGCGCACGGGUGCGUAACGCGUAUGCAACCUACCUUUAACAGGGGGAUAACACUGAGAAAUUGGUACUAAUACCCCAUAAUAUCAUAGAAGGCAUCUUUUAUGGUUGAAAAUUCCGAUGGUUAGAGAUGGGCAUGCGUUGUAUUAGCUAGUUGGUGGGGUAACGGCUCACCAAGGCGACGAUACAUAGGGGGACUGAGAGGUUAACCCCCCACACUGGUACUGAGACACGGACCAGACUCCUACGGGAGGCAGCAGUGAGGAAUAUUGGUCAAUGGACGCAAGUCUGACCAGCCAUGCCGCGUGCAGGAUGACGGCUCUAUGAGUUGUAAACUGCUUUUGUACUAGGGUAAACUCACCUACGUGUAGGUGACUGAAAGUNUAGUACGAAUAAGGAUCGGCUAACUCCGUGCC
rnacentral:rRNA from 1 species